rnacentral:rRNA from 1 species
GACGAACGCUGGCGGCGUGCUUAACACAUGCAAGUCGAACGGAAAGGCCCUGCUUUUGUGGGGUGCUCGAGUGGCGAACGGGUGAGUAACACGUGAGUAACCUGCCCUUGACUUUGGGAUAACUUCAGGAAACUGGGGCUAAUACCGGAUAGGAGCUCCUGCUGCAUGGUGGGGGUUGGAAAGUUUCGGCGGUUGGGGAUGGACUCGCGGCUUAUCAGCUUGUUGGUGGGGUAGUGGCUUACCAAGGCUUUGACGGGUAGCCGGCCUGAGAGGGUGACCGGCCACAUUGGGACUGAGAUACGGCCCAGACUCCUACGGUAGGCAGCAGUGGGGAAUAUUGCGCAAUGGGCGGGAGCCUGAUGCAGCAACGCCGCGUGCGGGAUGACGGCCUUCGGGUUGUAAACCGCUUUCGCCUGUGACGAGGCGUGAGUGACGGUAAUGGGUAAAGAAGCACCGGCUAACUACGUG